CCUACGGGAGGCAGCAGUGGGGAAUCUUGCGCAAUGGGCGAAAGCCUGACGCAGCAACGCCGCGUGCGGGAAGAAGGCCUUCGGGUUGUAAACCGCUUUCAGCAGGAACGAAAAUGACGGUACCUGCAGAAGAAGGAGCGGCCAACUACGUGCCAGCAGCCGCGGUGACACGUAGGCUCCAAGCGUUGUCCGGAUUUAUUGGGCGUAAAGAGCUCGUAGGCGGUUCAGUAAGUCGGGUGUGAAAACUCUGGGCUCAACCCAGAGCCUGCAUUCGAAACUGCUGUGACUAGAGUUUGGUAGGGGAGCGGGGAAUUCCUAGUGUAGCGGUGAAAUGCGCAGAUAUUAGGAGGAACACCGGUGGCGAAAGCGCCGCUCUGGGCCAAUACUGACGCUGAGGAGCGAAAGCGUGGGUAGCAAACAGGAUUAGAUACCCUGGUAGUCCACGCCGUAAACGAUGGGCACUAGGUGUGGGUUUCAACUAACGAAAUCCGUGCCGUCGCUAACGCAUUAAGUGCCCCGCCUGGGGGAGGUACGGUCGCGAGAACGUAAAACUUAAAAUAGAAGUUAGACGGUCGUGUAGACGUUGUCCGAAGGACGACGACGAGGGGAGGUAGGG
rnacentral:rRNA from 1 species